rnacentral:rRNA from 1 species
AUUGAAGGCUGGCGGCAUGCCUUACACAUGCAAGUCGAACGGCAGCGCGGGAGCAAUCCUGGCGGCGAGUGGCGAACGGGUGAGUAAUAUAUCGGAACGUGCCCAGUAGUGGGGGAUAGCCCGGCGAAAGCCGGAUUAAUACCGCAUACGACCUGAGGGUGAAAGGGGGGGAUCGCAAGACCUAUCGCUAUUGGAGCGGCCGAUAUCAGAUUAGGUAGUUGGUGGGGUAAGGGCCUACCAAGCCUGCGAUCUGUAGUUGGUCUGAGAGGACGCCCAGCCACACUGGGACUUGGACACGACACAGACUCCUGCGGGAGGCAGCAGUGGGGAAUUUUGGACAAUGGGCGCAAGCCUGAUCCAGCAAUGCCGCGUGCAGGAAGAAGGCCUUCGGGUUGUCAACUGCUUUUGUCAGGGAAGAAAUCCUCUAGGCUAAUACCUUGGGGGGAUGACGGUACCUGAAGAAUAAGCACCGGCUAACUACGUGCCAGCAGCCGCCGUAA